rnacentral:rRNA from 1 species
UCGAGUGAGUGCUUGUAAGAGGGGGUUUAGAGUCGGGGGUUGGAUCGAGAGAGAGGUAGCCGGCCGCCGGCCGACGCGGGGCUUAGGGAGCGGCAGCCGACGCGGGGGUUUAGGGAGCGGAUAAGGUAAGAGAACAAGCGGGGGAGGCGGGGGUUUAGGGAGCGGAGAAGGUAGGAGAGCAGGCGGGGGAGGCGGACUAAACGACCAGUCAUCGGGUUGCUGGGCGACGGAGGCUUCACAGCGGCCGUUUCGAAGGGUGCUGAAGACCUUCUCCCAGCAGCAGUUGCUGGGGCACCGGCGGCAGCGAGCUGGUGGCGUAGGAAGGGACUCGCCGCGGGAAAGGUUAGGUCCAAUAUCCUGAAGACUUCAAUAAAGUGAACAACUGCUCUUUCUUUUGUAUCAAUUUGACGACUAACAGUUC